AGUGAACGCUGGCGGUAGGCCUAACACAUGCAAGUCGAACGGCAGCACAGUAAGAGCUUGCUCUUACGGGUGGCGAGUGGCGGACGGGUGAGGAAUACAUCGGAAUCUACUUUUUCGUGGGGGAUAACGUAGGGAAACUUACGCUAAUACCGCAUACGACCUACGGGUGAAAGCAGGGGAUCUUCGGACCUUGCGCGAUUGAAUGAGCCGAUGUCGGAUUAGCUAGUUGGCGGGGUAAAGGCCCACCAAGGCGACGAUCCGUAGCUGGUCUGAGAGGAUGAUCCGCCACACGGGAUGAGAGACAGAGUCCAGACCCCGACGGGGGGCAGCAGUGGAGAAUAUUGGACGAUGCGGGCAAGCGGGAUCCAGCCAUACGGCGUGGGGGAAGAAGGCCUUCGGGUUGUAGAGCCCUUUUGUUGGGAAAGAAAAGCAGCAGGUUAAUACCCCGCUGUUCUGACGGUACCCAAAGAAUAAGCACCGGCUAACUUCGUG
rnacentral:rRNA from 1 species